rnacentral:lncRNA from 1 species
GGCGGUGGGGGCGGGGGGGGGAGUCUCACUAUGUUGCCCAGGCUGGUCUCGAGCCCUGGCCGCAAGAGAUCCUCCCGCCUCGGCCUCCCAAAGCGCUGAGAUUACAGGCGUGAGCCACCACGCCCGGCGUAAGAUUUUGUUUUUAAAGGCCUAAUUACAGUGAGAACAGAUGAGGCAAGGACACCCAUUAGGAGGCUAUUACAUAAUCUAGAUGAAAAGUGAGAGCGGCCCGAAUUAGGAGGUGGAGCGAAAAGAAUGGAGAAAUAUGGAGCAUAGUCAAGACGCAGUUGUUAACGAUUUGCCGGUUUCUGGCCUUAACAUCUGAGAGUAGUGUGCCUCCAGUCACUGAAAUAAUGAACACAGGAGAGGUGUAAAGGAAUCAGUUUGCAGGGCAGACAAUAUGUUUUUUAAAAGAUACAGUAUCAUAAAAUGCACACUAGAAGUGUACAUUCAGUGGUUUCCAGUACGUUCACAGGAUUUGCAGCCAUCGUCGCUAAUUCCAGAACGUUUUAAAACCCCAAAUCGAACCUGCCGUACCCAUUCGUAGUCACUCCGCAAUUCCCCCGACCCCAUCCCCUGGCAAUCACUUAUCGGCUUUCUGUCUCUGUGGUUUUGCGUAUUCAGUACAUUUUAUGUAAAUGGGAUCAUGUGAUACUUGGC